rnacentral:misc_RNA from 1 species
AGCCGCCGCGGCACGUUGUCCUUGAGCGAUUCGAUCAAAGUGGCCCAACUGGUCGCGAGCUUCACCCAGUGCCGGUCCUGGGUCUUUUUCGAGACAAACGUACCAAGCCCCUGGCGCGCCUGAAGCAGACCUUCUUCGCGCAGGAUAUCCACGGCCUGCCUCACCGUGACGCGCGCCACCUCAAACUCGCGUUCGAGCUCUUCGAGGGUGGAAAUCUUGUCCCCAGCGCUCCACUGCCCGGACUGAAUCCGCGUUCUCAACACCGAUGCGACCUGAAUAUACAGGGGCACUCUGCUGCGGU